CAAGUCGUGCGAGAAAGCUCCUUCGGGAGUGAGUAGAGCGGCGGACGGGUGAGUACAAAGUGGAUAACCUGCCUUUAGGUUUGGGACAACUUCGGGAAACCGGAGCUAAUACCGGAUAAGACCACAGUAUCUUUGGAUACAGAGGUAAAAGGCGGCUAGCUUGCUAGCUGUCACCUAUUGAGGGGUCCACUUCCCAUCAGGUAGUUGGUGAGGUAAUAGCUCACCAAGCCGAAGACGGGUAGCCGGCCUUAGCGGGUGGUCGGCCACACGGGGACUGAGACACGGCCCCGACUCCUACGGGAGGCAGCAGUGGGGAAUAUUGGGCAAUGGGCGAAAGCCUGACCCAGCGAUGCCGCGUGGGGGAUGAAGGCCUUCGGGUCGUAAACCCCUGUCAGGAGGGACGAUGGGUUUAUAGGUUAAUACCCUAUAAAUUUGACGGUACCUCCAGAGGAAGCCCCGGCUAACUCCGUGCCAGCAGCCGCGGUAAUACGGGAGGGGGCCAAGCGUUGCUCGGAAUUACUGGGGCGUA
rnacentral:rRNA from 1 species